GUUUGAUCCUGGCUCAGAACGAACGCUGGCGGCGUGGCUAAGACAUGCAAGUCAAACGGUACCGAUUAUUUAUAAUCGGGAUAGUGGCGAAAGGGUUAGUAAUAGAUAGGUAACGUACCCUGUGCUUCGGAAUAGCGUCAUUCGCCUUCGGGCGAAUUUCCGAAAGGGACGGUAAUACCGAAUAAUAUCAGUUGUCGAUGGGCAACUGAUCAAAGAUUUAUCGGCAUUGGAGCGGCCUAUCUCCUAUCAGCUUGUUGGUGAGGUAAUGGCUCACCAAGGCUAUGACGGGUAGCGGGACUGAGAGGUUGGCCCGCCACAUCGGGACUGAGACACUGCCCGGACCUCCACGGAGGGCUGCAGUAACGAAUCUUGUGCAAUGGGCGAAAGCCUGACACAGCGACGCCGCGUGUAGGAGGAAGUCCUUCGGGAUGUAAACUACUGUCAGGGGUAAGAAAGUGCGCUUCGGCGCAUUGAUCCAACCCAGAGGAAGUCACGGCUAACUUCGUGCCAGCAGCCGCGGUAAGACGAAGGUGGCAAGCGUUGUUCGGUAUUACUGGGCUUAAAGCGUGUGUAGGCGGAAAAGUAAGCGUUCUGUGAAAGCCCCCGGCUUAACCGGGGAAUUGCGCAACGAACUGCUUUUCUUGAGGCAAGUAGGGGUGCAUGGAACUCUUGGUGGAGCGGUGGAAUGCGUAAUAUCAAGAGGAACGCCAGUGGAGAAAUCGGUGCACUGGGCUUGUCCUGACGCUGAGACACGAAAGCGUGGGGAGCGAACGGGAUUAGAUACCCCGGUAGUCCACGCCGUAAACGAUGCCUACUAGGUUGUGGGGGUUCUGACACUCGCACAGCCGAAGCAAAAGUGCUAAGUAGGCCGCCUGGGGAGUACGGUCGCAAGGCUAAAACUCAAAGGAAUUGACGGGGGCUCACACAAGCGGUGGAGCAUGUGGAUCAAUUCGAAGCAACGCGUAGAACCUUACCUGGGUUUGACAUGCUUGGAUGCUUGCCUGGAAACAGGUUAAGCUGCCCUUCGGGGUGAAACUUGCACAGGUGCUGCAUGGCUGUCGUCAGCUCGUGUCGUGAGAUGUCGGGUUAAGU
rnacentral:rRNA from 1 species